rnacentral:tRNA from 1 species
GCCCAGGUGAUGAAAUUGGUAGACAUGCCACUUUGAGGUGGUGGUGCCGGUAACGGUGUGCUGGUUCGAAUCCAGUCUUGGGCA